ensembl:lncRNA
GUUGCUAUGUAGUACUCUGUCCUAGGUGCUAGGGACUGAAUCUUUGUGGUUGCCCCUCCCACUUCAUGAGCAGAAGCCCCAGUCCCCAUUGUGAUGGUAUUGGGAGGUGAGGCCCUCAUGAUGGCAUUCAUGCCCUAUUAGAAGGGGAGGAGUUAUGAAAUGUUCUGCUUCAGAUCAUCCAAUAUGUAUGAUUUUUCUGUUGGGGUCUAUCCCUUGGAAUGGAAAUGUUGGGUCAUAAAGUGUGUCUAUUUUCAGCCUUGGUAGAAACUACCAUUGUUUUUCAAAGUGUUUGUAGCAAUCAACACUCCCAGCAAUAGUGUACAUGAGUUCCACUUGCUCCAUAUCCUUGCCAACACUUGAUGUUGUCAGUCUUUUGAAUUUUAGCCAUUCUGGUGGAUGUGUAGUGAGAACUCAUUGUGUAUGUAUGUGUGUGUGUUCUUUUUAUUUUGAGAUAAUUGAAGAUUCACAUGUAGUUUGUAAGAAAGUACAAGGAGUUCCCAUGGACUCUCUGCUCAGUUUCCCUCCAUAAUAAUAUCUUGAAUAACUGUAGUACAAUGUCACGACCAGGAGACUGACACUCAUACAAUCCACGAGGGUUUGUCCAAUUUCACUUGACUUUGUGCAUGUGUGUUGUCUAAUUUUAUGUAAUUUUACCACAUGUGUAGACUCAAUAACCAUCACCACAGUCAGGACACAGAACGGUCCUGUCACCAGAACCCCUCCUGUCCCCUCCUACAUCCACUGCACCUCCUUCCCUUCCACACACCCUCAUCCCUGCAGCCACGAAUCUGGUCUCCGUCUCCGUCAUUUUGCCAUUUCAAGAACGUUAAACACAUGGAAUCAUACAGUAUGGAAAAUGUGGAGAUUUGUUUUUCUACUCAGCAUAAUUCUCUUGCGAGCCAUCAAGUUGCCAUGUGUCAGAAUCAUUCCUUUUAUUGCUGAGUAGCAUUCCAGGAAUGAGCUUUUAAAAAGACAAUAAGCAUAUAUUCUCAAACAAUCAUUGAUGGUGGUUUCAUUGAUUUCUUCAUUCACACAGGAUGAUAAAAUAGAUUGUCUCAUGUUCUUUCAUUUGUUCAUUAAUUACACCAGCAUUUAUUAAGUACCAACUGAGUGCCAAGCACUGCGCCAGAUCCUGGGCACCCAAGAGACGUAAAAGGACUCUGCCUGGAGGGAUUUUUCCUAGAGUCUAUGUGGGGAGACAGGCUUAUCAAUUUAAUAAGACAAUCCAGCAUUACAGAUGCCAUGACGGUGAUAGAUACAUUUCAUUUAGGAAUAAAGAAGAAAACCUCUGACUCCAAGAGGAUGGGGAUGGAGAAUGAGUCCAGGAGAUACUUUGUAGGGGCAUGACGCAUAAGCCAAGUCUUGGAAGGUGGAUGGUCUGCCUGAUGGCUUUGAGUGAGAGAGGAAGAAGGAGCAAGAACAGCCGGGGUAUAAAACGGAGUUGAGAAGGAGUCUGUACUCAAUGCAGAACUUAGCACACCGUGCUGGCUAAGCCCGAGAAGUGGGUGGGGCUGCUGAAGAGAAGGACAGUUGGGGAAUGUUACCGUUUUUCAGGAACAUACAUUAUCGGAGACACAGAUUCAAGUUGUUGCCCAGAUGCACUCAGAAACGGGGCACAUUCAUUAAGAGAACGGCCAGACGGCUUCCUCUUUGGGUGCUUGUUUGCCUACAUUUAAUGAAUGAAUAAAUAACAUGCCUAUUCAUUACCAACUUUUGAGUGGAAAUAAUUGCUGGGUUUCCUCAUUUGCUUGGAAUAAUGUUCUCUGCGUUUGGAGCGACUUCUGUCUCGGUCACGGCAGUAUUUCCUGGUCAAGGGGCCAGAGGUGUCCUCCAGGGGCUGACGUUCACCUCCGGCUCACCUUUGAGAGAAGCAAUCACUCUUCUUAUUUACCUUGCUUCGUGCACGAUGCUGAGAGUCAGGGCUCAGAGCCAGGCUACGUGGAGUUGAUUUUCUCCUUCAGCCCUUAUUAGCUUGCAAGCUAAUUGACCUCGCUGUGCCUCAGUUUCCUCAUCUGUCAGCUG